UGCGUAGGCGGGUUUCUAAGUCAGAGGUGAAAGCCUGGAGCUCAACUCCAGAACUGCCUUUGAUACUGGAAGUCUUGAGUAUGGCAGAGGUGAGUGGAACUGCGAGUGUAGAGGUGAAAUUCGUAGAUAUUCGCAAGAACACCAGUGGCGAAGGCGGCUCACUGGGCCAUUACUGACGCUGAGGCACGGAAAGCGUGGGGAGCAAACG
rnacentral:rRNA from 1 species